GUUUUGUGGCUUAGUUGGUUAAAGCGCCGGUCUAGCGAAUACGGAGUCGUGGGUUCGAAUCCCAUCAGAAGCG
rnacentral:tRNA from 1 species